UGUGCACCUGUAAAGAAACACAAUAGCAUCAAUCAGCAAAAAAUGUGUUGAAGGUUUAUGCUAAGUAUUGAUGUAUUUUCUUUUUGAUGGGAGGGGAAAGAAGAACACAGAAAUAAUUGUUGUUUAUUUUUACAUCAGUCAACAGCUGAACCGCACUGCAUUUCACCAAUAAGAUGCACGUCCCAAACCUGUGAAUUCUGGGAUCUUGCUGUUUUGCAUGGUACAAAUUUACAGAAACAUUACCAUAUAAUGGUUUUGAAAAGCUUGUCCUUUCACCACUACCAGUAACCGUAUUGCCAGGCGGAGAAGACCGACAACUGCUCUUUCCACAAGAAAGCACUGCUCUGUUGCAUGAACAGUCAACUGGUAGAGGUGAUCUCGUACAGUCUGCCAGACGAAUGAAACUCGAUCUCUUUAGGAUGGAAGAAGAAAAAAAAGGGUUUAAAUAAAAGAAAAUCACAUCUUCAUUCAGGUUUUGCUGAAGUAAUCAUAGGAGUGGGAGAAAUGUGAAUCCCUGCAGUUGCAGAGGUACUCCAUAAAAGUCUUCUUGACUGGUAACAACUAUUGAUCAGAAUUUAACUGAAUGAUGAGAGGAGAAAAUGCUUACCUCCACCAUGGCUUUGGGCAAUAGCUCGGCAC